UACGGAGGGUGCGAGCGUUGUCCGGAAUCACUGGGCGUAAAGGGCGCGUAGGCGGCGCGGGCAGUCAACGGUGAAAGCUUGGGGCUCAACCCCGAGUCGGCCGUCGAUACUCCCGUGCUUGAGCACUGUAGAGGCAGGUGGAUUCCGGGUGUAGCGGUGGAAUGCGUAGAGAUCGGGAAGAACAUCAGUGGCGAAGGCGGCCUGCUGGGCUGUUGCUGACGCUGGAGGCGCGACAGGCGUGGGGAGCAAAA
rnacentral:rRNA from 1 species